AUGUCAGCAUCCUCUUUAUCGUCAUGGUAUUUGCCAAUGGACGGGAUGUGAUGCAUUCUGCGACAACUUUCAACUUUUCAUGCAUCAUCUUAACACUGAGCACCCGCUGGACGAUAGAAGCACGGUGCAAGCGAGGGUUCAAACGCUAGUGGUUUCGAAUUUAAAGGAAGAGUUAAACCGUGAAAGAGAUAGAUUGUCGGCCAUGAUGAAACAUCUGCAUACAGAAAAGACUAAGGAAAGAGACACCAAAGGAAACCUCGUCCGUUGAUCUCAUUCCUCAAAGCACACCGGACGUCAUAGUCCGUCGGG